GACCACAACUAUCUGCCUCAUUCACAGCUUCAUUCGGACCCACUCACAUCAUUCGGAAACAUGCUCAACAAACCAUCAGAGCUGCAGCACUCACACAUCAGCAGAACAUCAUUCGGAGCACUCAUGUUUUUACUUUUUCGUGAGGUGGUUUCUUGGCCACGGAGAGGCACAGGAGAAGAAAAGGAGGAUUCCGUUUGAGUGGAGAGAGGGCUGGUAGCCUUUCAUACUUUUCAUUUGAAGGAGUGAUGUGUGGGGCAGCUGAAGGAGUGAUGUGUAAGUGCUAAAAGUGAAAGAAAUCAAGAUAAAACAAAUCAAUUAAUCUUCAGCAAGUGGAUGUUUUCGGCUACCAGCCGAAGUGCUCAUCAAGUCGAAGGGAAUUUUAUUAAAAGUAUUAAUUUGAUGGUGCACGAGAUUGAAGAAGUGAUAAGUGGGGUCAGUUUGGUAGAGAGGUGGGAAGCUACUGACAUGCAAUGAACACACCAUGCAUGGGACUCACACGAAGCAACUCAACAACUCACACAUGCAUGAUAGCAAUUCAGACAUGCAGGGGCCACGGCUGGAGUGCUAUGCUUUAUCUUUUUUCGUGGAAGUGGGGAGCUUGAGUGGAGAGAGUGGAAUGAUUUUUGCUUUCCUUACUUUUCCGUUUAGUGGAGAGAGUUUGAUUCUUCUUCUUUUUUUUUGUUUUUGGUUUCAUACGGAGGGACGGCUUGAGUGGAGAGAGUUGAGAUGCUUCCCUUGAGUGGAGAGAGUGGUCCCGGGAGCAUGAUUUUGCUUUCCAUUUCUCUUUCCCUUGAGUGGAGAGCCACGGCUGGAGUGCUUAGCUUUUACUUGAGUGGAGAGACCGAAUGAUGCUUCCCUUGAGUGGAGAGGGACGGCUGGUGGUAUUGGGGUGGAGCUUGCUUUUGCUUGGAUGGAAACUUCUUGCUUUACUUUAAGGGGAAGGACAUGACACUUCUUCUUCUCGGGCAGUAGCUUAGGGGAAGGACAUGACACUUCUUCUUCUCGGGCAGUAGCUUAGGGGAAGGCUUUUGCUUUUCUUAUUUUGUUUUGGUUCAGACCUGGAGCUCGGUCAGUAGGAGUUUAGUAGGAGUUGAACUUGUUGUUUUUUCUUUCAUUCUCAUUCGGACAGCAGUAGCUAAGUUUUUGUUUUUUUUUCUGUUUCUUUGUUUUCUCAUUUGGACAGCAGAGUAGUGAGAGUUUAGUUUUAAGUUCUUGUUUUCGUGUACCUAGCAAGGAGAGCAGCAGGCAGCAACACAUGACACUUCUUCUUCUCGGGCAGUAGUUGUUUUAGGAGUGCAAGCUUGAUCUAAGCAAUAAUAGAUUCAAUGGCACCAUACCAAUGAAAUCUGCAACAUGUCAAUGCAAUUCGUGCUCUGAAAUUCAUUUAAAGGGGACCUCGUGAGAUUGGAAACUGUGUUUGAAUUGCAAAUGUACAGCAGCAAAGCAAACAUGCAUGGGACUCCAUGGAAUAAAUAAAAGAGACAAAGGUGAAAGCAAUUAAUGUGGGGCUGGAAAAGAAAUCAUCCAAGAAAUCAUCCACUCGGCAACCUUGGUUUGAAUUGAAUAAGAUGGGAGAAAUCGGUGGAUUGAGGCCAUGUAUAAAGAAUGAAGAAACAUGUGCAACCGGUGAGUGUGCUGGAAUUAAACUAUGUUGUGCUGGAAAGUAAAGAGAAAGCAACCGGUGGGUGUUUUUAUUUUUGCUGCAGCCGAUCGGUGCAUGAGUUUGGAGCUGGUGAGUUGUGCUGGAAAGAGAGGCAGCAAUCGGUUGAGAGGUGAUUGAAGAGAUCAUCCGUGAUGGAGGAGAACAAUUGAUGUGGGGUUGUUGUGUUUAGCCUUUAUUAGUUAAUUAUCCUAAGAUGAAGAGAGAGUGGAGUCGCUGAAAGUGAAUGCAUGAAUAUAGAAAGGGUGAGAAAAAGUGAGUAGAGAGGGAGAGUAAUGAGUGGAAGAGUAAUGAGUGGAAGAGCUGAACUUAAAGAAAAGGAAUAAAGGAGUGUGCAGCCGAGAUGAAGGAGUGAAAGGUGGGAGUCGGAAUUGAGGAAUUUAGCUGGAACUUCGGACAACAUGGGACCAGACACAUGGACAGCACUCCACUCACACGAAGCACUCAACAAACCACACAUGCAUGAUAGCAAUUCAGACAUGCAGGGGCCACGGCUGGAGUGCUAUGUCUUUUACUUUUUUCGUGGAGGUGGGGGGCUUGAGUGGAGAGAGCUUACUUUUCCCUUGAGUGGAGUGAGUGGUCCCGUGAGAUGCUUCCCUUGAGUGGAGAGGGACGGCUGGUGGUGCUUGGGUGGAGCUUGCUUUUGCUUUGAUGGUGGACUUCUUGCUUUACUUUCGAGUGGGGAGAGGAGAAUGUUGGUGGGGUACUUCUUGCUUUACUUGGAGACUGAGUGGGGGUUCUUGCUUGCUUUUGCUUUUGGAUGGUGCAGCCGAGAUUGGAAGGAUGCUUCCCUUGAGUGGAGAGACCGAAUGAUGCUUCCCUUGAGUGGAGAGGGAGUUUGCUUUUGCUUUGAUGGGAACUUCUUGCUUUAUUUUCAGAGGGGAGACUUGGAAGAAAGGGAGCUCGGGCAGUAGUUUAGUUUAAAGUUUCUAUUCUUUUUGUUGAACCGGGGGGAGUUGUUUACACGGUCAGUCUUUAGUGUUUGUUUUUCUUAUUUUGUUUGCUGUUUAGAAGAAGUGGCAGCAACCAGGAGUCUUCGGAGGGGAUCUUUCUUAUUUCUUUCAGACUUUGAAGAAUUGGAGCUCGGGCAGUUUUUUUAGUUGUUUUCUUAUUUUGUCUUCUGUUUUAAAAGCAAGCAUAGCACCACGGUGUGGGAGUUUUUGGACUUGUUUUAUUUUCUGUUGAGAAUCUAGUAGCAGCACAAGUUUUUGUUUUGGUCUUUUUAUUUUCUGUUUUCAAGAAGUAGCAGCAGUGCAAGUUUGUUUUGUUUUGAUCUUAAUUUAUUUUCUGUUUAGAAGAAGCAACAGUGCAGUUUUUGGUUUUUUUCAUUUAUUGUAUUGCUUUUACUUUGAGACCUCAUGAACUAGGCGGUUUGCCUUGUCUUCAUGCAUUUAAUUUUCGUUUAGCAGUU